rnacentral:rRNA from 1 species
GACGAACGCUGGCGGUGUGCCUCAAACAUGCAAGUCGAGGGAGGGUUGGCGUCUGGCUUGCCAGACGUUCAACUCUACCGGCGAACGGGUGAGUAACACGUGGGCAAUCUGCCCUGAAGACGGGGACAACCUCGGGAAACCGUGGCUAAUACCCGAUAUCCUCCUUGGGGGGCAUCCCCUAGGAAGGAAAGGUCCGCAAGGUCCGCUUCAGGAGGAGCCCGCGGCCUAUCAGCUUGUUGGUGGGGUCACGGCCUACCAAGGCUAUGACGGGUAGCUGGUCUGAGAGGACGAUCAGCCACACUGGGACUGAGACACGGGCCCAGACUCCUACGGGAGGCAGCAGUUGGGAAUUUUGGGCAAUGGGCGCAAGCCUGACCCAGCGACACCGCGUGGGAUGAAGGCC